rnacentral:tRNA from 1 species
UGCGGGAUCGUCUAAUGGUAGGACAGCGCCCUUUGAAGGCGCUUAUCAUGGUUCGAAUCCAUGUCCCGCAG